GCCUUUAUGGUGUAAUGGUCAGCACACUCGGUGCAUAUUCGAGGGGGUCCGAGAUUCGAGUCCCGGCGAGGGCA
rnacentral:tRNA from 1 species